CGCUGGCGGAAUGCUUUACACAUGCAAGUCGAACGGCAGCACGGGGGCAACCCUGGUGGCGAGUGGCGAACGGGUGAGUAAUACAUCGGAACGUGCCCAGUCGUGGGGGAUAACGUAGCGAAAGUUACGCUAAUACCGCAUACGAUCUACGGAUGAAAGCGGGGGAUCGCAAGACCUCGCGCGAUUGGAGCGGCCGAUGUCAGAUUAGGUUGUUGGUGAGGUAAAGGCUCACCAAGCCGACGAUCUGUAGCUGGUCUGAGAGGACGACCAGCCACACUGGGACUGAGACACGGCCCAGACUCCUACGGGAGGCAGCAGUGGGGAAUUUUGGACAAUGGACGAAAGUCUGAUCCAGCCAUUCCGCGUGCAGGACGAAGGCCUUCGGGUUGUAAACUGCUUUUGUACGGAACGAAAAAGCCUUGGCUAAUACCCGGGGUCCAUGACGGUACCGUAAGAAUAAGCACCGGCUAACUACGUGCCAGCAGCCGCGGUAAUACGUAGGGUGCGAGCGUUAAUCGGAAUUACUGGGCGUAAAGCGUGCGCAGGCGGUUUUGUAAGACAGAGGUGAAAUCCCCGGGCUCAACCUGGGAACUGCCUUUGUGACUGCAAGGCUAGAGUGCGGCAGAGGGGGAUGGAAUUCCGCGUGUAGCAGUGAAAUGCGUAGAUAUGCGGAGGAACACCGAUGGCGAAGGCAAUCCCCUGGGCCUGCACUGACGCUCAUGCACGAAAGCGUGGGGAGCAAACAGGAUUAGAUACCCUGGUAGUCCACGCCCUAAACGAUGUCAACUGGUUGUUGGGUCUUUGCUGACUCAGUAACGA
rnacentral:rRNA from 1 species